AGGGGUUCUCGGGUGAUGCACCCUGGACUGGGCUCCCUCCUCUCUGGUUCUGGGUGCAUUACCCAAGAACCACA
rfam:Myotis davidii contig187549, whole genome shotgun sequence.